GGGGCUGAUAUAGCUUUAGACAAUUGGAACUUAAUAAUAUAUUCCGCAGAUCGAUCUAUACACGUAAAGUAUUAUUUAAUUGCAAAAUCUAAAAUUGCGUCUGCAUUUGAUAGUGUAAAGAGUAUUUUUGCUCCACGAUCACUUGCAGUUGUUGCUGCUUAAUUUAAGGCAACCAUUUCGUUUAUUUUCGCAGUAUUAGAAUAGGCGAGGUGUUAUAUUUUAUACUGCUUGCUAUCAGUUAGAAGUAGUGCGCUGAUAGGACUAUUUAUUCUACGUAACUAACUAUCAUUUUUUGGUUUAUUUAUAUAUUGAUUGUUGGUUAUAAAAAAUUAAAUAAACCUAUAUCUGUAGACGAGUAUAUUGUUACCAUUUGGACCGGGGGGCAGUACCCCGCAGCUCCACCA
rnacentral:tmRNA from 1 species